GAUGAUGGAUUGGUGAUAGAAGAUGGUCCUAACGAUUUUGAGACCAUGCAGCUUCUUGGUGCAGAAUGUGCAUUCCAGUCAUAUCGUAUAGAUGGUGAUUGCCCAGGCAAUGCUGCCGCAGAUGAUCCGUAUGAUUUUGUUUACCAAAAUUUGCCGAAAGGGCACCAUGUUUUGAGGAAGGCUCCUGACUGCCAACAUUGUGGGGCCAUGAGAUUUGAAGGUGAAUCACCAGGAUUCUGUUGUCGAAUGGGCAAGAUAAAAGUCCAUAUCCCUGAUGUACCAGCUGAGUUGAAGAGGUUGUUCACAAGUCAGGGUUGGUGCCAUUCCAAAUCUUGAUGACUAUGUAAUUGAGCUCAACACUAAUGUGACACCCGACCAACGAAGGUAUAAUGCCCCUACUACCACACAAGUUGCUGCUAUCUGGACCGAUGGAAAUGACCCUCAAAGAUGCUUUGAUAGGAGUGUCCUUGUAUACCCCAGGGGAGAGAAGACGCGCUAUAUCAAACCAUAUC